UACGGAGGGAGCUAGCGUUGUUCGGAUAUACUGGGCGUAAAGGGCGCGUAGGUGGCCCGUUAAGUGGCUGGUGAAAUCCCGCGGCUCAACUGCGGGGCUGCCGGUCAUACUGGCGAGCUAGAGCACGGUAGGGGCAGAUGGAAUUCCCGGUGUAGCGGUGGAAUGCGUAGAGAUCGGGAAGAAUACCAGUGGCGAAGGCGUUCUGCUGGGCCGUUGCUGACACUGAGGCGCGACAGCGUGGGGAGCAAACAGG
rnacentral:rRNA from 1 species